rnacentral:rRNA from 1 species
GCAACCCUCUAGUGGCAAACGGGUGAGUAAUACGUAGGAAUCUGCCCAUUAGUGUGGGAUAACCAUUGGAAACGAUGGCUAAUACCGCAUAUUCCAGAGAUGGGAAAGGCUUUAUUGCCUGUUUUUGCUUCUUUGUUUAUUUAAAUGAAGAAACGAAAACAGGUUCAUAGAGUCGCUAGUGGAUGAGCCUACGCCUGAUUAGCUUGUUGGUGGGGUAAUGGCCUACCAAGGCAAAGAUCAGUAGCCGAUCUGAGAGGAUGAACGGCCACACUGGAACUUAGACACGGUCCAGACUCCUACGGGAGGCAGCAGUAAGGAAUAUUGGACAAUGGGCGAAAGCCUGAUCCAGCAAUGCCGCGUGAGUGAUGAAGGUCUUCGGAUUGUAAAACUCUUUUAUCAGGGAAGAUAAUGACGGUACCUGAUGAAUAAGCACCGGCUAACUACGUGCCAGCAGCCGCGGUAAUACGUAGGGUGCGAGCGUUGUUCGGAAUUACUGGGCGUAAAGGACAUGUAGGCGGUCAAAUAAGUUAGUUGUGUAAUCCCUAGGCUUAACCUAGGAACUGCUUCUAAAACUGUUUGACUAGAAUGUGGUAGAGGGCAGUGGAAUUCCUAGUGUAAGGGUAAAAUCUACAAAUAUUAGGAGGAACACCGAAAGCGAAGGCAGCUGCCUGGGCCAUUAUUGACGCUGAUAUGUGAAAGCGUGGGGAGCAAACAGGAUUAGAUACCCUGGUAGUCCACGCCCUAAACGAUGAGUACUAGGCGCUGGGAUCAUUAGAUUUCAGUGUCGAAGCUA